rnacentral:rRNA from 1 species
UACAGAGGUCUCAAGCGUUGUUCGGAUUCAUUGGGCGUAAAGGGUGCGUAGGCGGCGCGGUAAGUCGGGUGUGAAAUCUCGGGGCUUAACUCCGAAACUGCAUUCGAUACUGCCGUGCUUGAGGACUGGAGAGGAGACUGGAAUUUACGGUGUAGCGGUGAAAUGCGUAGAGAUGUGGAGGAACACCAGUGGCGAAGGCGACUCUUUGGCCUGUAACUGACGCUGAGGCGCGAAAGCGUGGGGAGCAAACAGG